UUAAGCGACUAAGCGUACACGGUGGAUGCCCUGGCAGUCAGAGGCGAUGAAGGGCGUGCUAAUCUGCGAUAAGCGCCGGUAAGGUGAUAUGAACCGUUAUAACCGGCGAUACCCGAAUGGGGAAACCCAGUGUGAUUCGUCACACUAUCAUUAACUGAAUCCAUAGGUUAAUGAGGCGAACCGGGGGAACUGAAACAUCUAAGUACCCCGAGGAAAAGAAAUCAACCGAGAUUCCCCCAGUAGCGGCGAGCGAACGGGGAGGAGCCCAGAGCCUGAAUCAGCAUGUGUGUUAGUGGAAGCGUCUGGAAAGGCGCGCGAUACAGGGUGACAGCCCCGUACACAAAAGCGCACGUGCUGUGAGCUCGAUGAGUAGGGCGGGACACGUGGUAUCCUGUCUGAAUAUGGGGGGACCAUCCUCCAAGGCUAAUACUCCUGACUGACCGAUAGUGAACCAGUACCGUGAGGGAAGGCGAAAGAACCCCGGCGAGGGGAGUGAAAAGAACCUGAAACCGUGUACGUACAAGCAGUGGGAGCACAGGUUUACCUGUGUGACUGCGUACCUUUUGUAUAAUGGGUCAGCGACUUAUAUUCCUGUAGCAAGGUUAACCGAUAGGGGAGCCGGAGGGAAACCGAGUCUUAAUUGGGCGUUAAGUUGCAGGGUAUAGACCCGAAACCCGGUGAUCUAGCCAUGGGCAGGUUGAAGGUUGGUAACACUAACUGGAGGACCGAACCGACUAAUGUUGAAAAAUUAGCGGAUGACCUGUGGCUGGGGGGUGAAAGGCCAAUCAAACCGGGAGAUAGCUGGUUCUCCCCGAAAGCUAUUUAGGUAGCGCCUCGUGAAUUCAUCUCCGGGGGUAGAGCACUGUUUCGGCUAGGGGGCCAUCCCGGCUUACCAACCCGAUGCAAACUGCGAAUACCGGAGAAUGUUAUCACGGGAGACACACGGCGGGUGCUAACGUCCGUCGUGAAGAGGGAAACAACCCAGACCGCCAGCUAAGGUCCCAAAGUCAUGGUUAAGUGGGAAACGAUGUGGGAAGGCCCAGACAGCCAGGAUGUUGGCUUAGAAGCAGCCAUCAUUUAAAGAAAGCGUAAUAGCUCACUGGUCGAGUCGGCCUGCGCGGAAGAUGUAACGGGGCUAAACAUGCACCGAAGCUGCGGCAGCGAACGUAUCACCCAAGACAACUUUGCACAGUUGACGAUUGACGGAGCGGAGCGACGUCAAAGCGUUUUACAACGUCGAGUUGGCUUAGGGAUACGUUCGUUGGGUAGGGGAGCGUUCUGUAAGCCUGCGAAGGUGGCCUGUGAGGGUUGCUGGAGGUAAUCAGAAGUGCGAAUGCUGACAUAAGUAACGAUAAAGCGGGUGAAAAGCCCGCUCGCCGGAAGACCAAGGGUUCCUGUCCAACGUUAAUCGGGGCAGGGUGAGUCGACCCCUAAGGCGAGGCCCGAAAGGCGUAGUCGAUGGGAAACGGGUUAAUAUUCCCGUACUUGGUGUUACUGCGAAGGGGGACGGAGAAGGCUAUGUUGGCCGGGCGACGGUUGUCCCGGUUUAAGCGUGUAGGCUGGUUUCCAGGCAAAUCCGGAAAAUCAAGGCUGAGGCGUGACGACGAGGCACUACGGUGCUGAAGCAACAAAUGCCCUGCUUCCAGGAAAAGCCUCUAAGCAUCAGGUAACAUCAAAUCGUACCCCAAACCGACACAGGUGGUCAGGUAGAGAAUACCAAGGCGCUUGAGAGAACUCGGGUGAAGGAACUAGGCAAAAUGGUGCCGUAACUUCGGGAGAAGGCACGCUGACAUGUAGGUGAAGUGAUUUACUCAUGGAGCUGAAGUCAGUCGAAGAUACCAGCUGGCUGCAACUGUUUAUUAAAACACAGCACUGUGCAAACACGAAAGUGGACGUAUACGGUGUGACGCCUGCCCGGUGCCGGAAGGUUAAUUGAUGGGGUCAGCGCAAGCGAAGCUCCUGAUCGAAGCCCCGGUAAACGGCGGCCGUAACUAUAACGGUCCUAAGGUAGCGAAAUUCCUUGUCGGGUAAGUUCCGACCUGCACGAAUGGCGUAAUGAUGGCCAGGCUGUCUCCCACCCGAGACUCAGUGAAAUUGAACUCGCUGUGAAGAUGCAGUGUACCCGCGGCAAGACGGAAGACCCCGUGAACCUUUACUAUAGCUUGACACUGAACAUUGAGCCUUGAUGUGUAGGAUAGGUGGGAGGCUUUGAAGUGUGGACGCCAGUCUGCAUGGAGCCGACCUUGAAAUACCACCCUUUAAUGUUGAUGUUCUAACGUGGACCCGUUACCCGGGUUGCGGACAGUGUCUGGUGGGUAGUUUGACUGGGGCGGUCUCCUCCUAAAGAGUAACGGAGGAGCACGAAGGUUGGCUAAUCCUGGUCGGACAUCAGGAGGUUAGUGCAAUGGCAUAAGCCAGCUUGACUGCGAGCGUGACGGCGCGAGCAGGUGCGAAAGCAGGUCAUAGUGAUCCGGUGGUUCUGAAUGGAAGGGCCAUCGCUCAACGGAUAAAAGGUACUCCGGGGAUAACAGGCUGAUACCGCCCAAGAGUUCAUAUCGACGGCGGUGUUUGGCACCUCGAUGUCGGCUCAUCACAUCCUGGGGCUGAAGUAGGUCCCAAGGGUAUGGCUGUUCGCCAUUUAAAGUGGUACGCGAGCUGGGUUUAGAACGUCGUGAGACAGUUCGGUCCCUAUCUGCCGUGGGGCGCUGGAGAACUGAGGGGGGCUGCUCCUAGUACGAGAGGACCGGGAGUGGACGCAUCACUGGUGUUCGGGUUGUCAUGCCAAUGGCACUGCCCGGUAGCUAAAUGCGGAAGAGAUAAGUGCUGAAAGCAUCUAAGCACGAAACUUGCCCCGAGAUGAGUUCUCCCUGAGACUUAGAGUCUCCUGAAGGAACGUUGAAGACGACGACGUUGAUAGGCCGGGUGUGUAAGCGCAGCGAUGCGUUGAGCUAACCGGUACUAAUGAACCGUGAGGCUUAACCUU
rnacentral:rRNA from 1 species